AUUCCAGCUCCAAUAGCGUAUAUUAAAGUUGUUGCAGUUAAAAAGCUCGUAGUUGGAUAUCUGUUUUGAAUAUCCGGUCGAUUUCGUAAGAGAUGCGUACUAUGGAUAUUUGAAUCAUUUUUUGUGAGAUUUUUAUUCUGACAUUAAGUUGUUGGUUUAAAAGGCUUGCAUCGUUUACUGUGAAAAAAUUAGAGUGUUUCAAGCAGGCGUUUGCUUUCGAAUACAUUAGCAUGGAAUAAUAAGAUAUGACUAGCGUGGUCUAUUUUGUUGGUUUGCACACGCAAGUAAUGAUUAAUAGGGACAGUUGGGGGUAUUCAUAUUACUACGUCAGAGGUGAAAUUCUUGGAUCGUAAUAAGAUGAGCUUAGGCGAAAGCAUUUACCAAGGAUGUUUUCAUCA
rnacentral:rRNA from 1 species